GGGGAAUCUUGCACAAUGGGGGAAACCCUGAUGCAGCGACGCCGCGUGAGCGAUGAAGCCCUUCGGGGUGUAAAGCUCUUUCGGCAGGAACGAUAAUGACGGUACCUGCGGAAGAAGCUGCGGCUAACUACGUGCCAGCAGCCGCGGUAAUACGUAGGCAGCAAGCGUUGUUCGGAGUUACUGGGCGUAAAGGGUGUGUAGGCGGUGUCCUAAGUUCGGUGUGAAAUCUCCCGGCUCAACUGGGAGGGUGCGCCGAAAACUGGGACGCUCGAGCGCGGGAGAGGAAAGUGGAAUUCCUGGUGUAGCGGUGAAAUGCGUAGAUAUCAGGAGGAACACCGGUGGUGAAGACGGCUUUCUGGACCGCUGCUGACGCUGAAACACGAAAGCGUGGGGAGCAAAC
rnacentral:rRNA from 1 species